UUUGUAGGUGUUUUAGGGCGUUCGGUGGAUGCCUUGGUGUGAUGGGCCGAAGAAGGACGUGGUGGCCUGCGAUAUGCCUCGGGGAGUUGGCUUGCGUGCGUUGAUCCGAGGGUGUCCGAAUGGGGGAACCUGGCCUGCUUUUUGUGGGUCGCCUGCUGCUGAAUUGAUAGGUGGUGGGUGGUUACGUGGGGAAGUGAAACAUCUUAGUACCUGCUGGAAGAGAUAUUCUGUGAGUAGUGGCGAGCGAAAGCGGAGGAGUCUAAACCUUGUGCGUGUGAUAGCCGUCGGGUGUUGCGUGCGGGGGGUUGUGGGGCGUGCCUUUUCCCUUGCCGACGUGGGGGAGCGUAGUGAUAAACCGUGCUGGUAGUUGAAGGGUCUGGGAUGGCCUGCCGUAGUGCGUGAUAGCCGUGUAGAUGAAACUGGUGUGGCUGCGUUGGUGUGUGCCCGAGUAGCGCGGGGCUCGUGGAAUCUCGUGUGAAUCUGCCAAGACCACUUGGUAAGGCUAAAUACCCAUUGCGACCGAUAGUGGAUAGUACCGUGAGGGAAUGGUGAAAAGUACCCCGGGAGGGGAGUGAAAUAGUGCCUGAAACCGGGCGCCUACAAUCCGUCAGAGCCCUUUUUUGUGGGGGUGAUGGCGUGCCUUUUGAAGAAUGAGCCUGCGAGUUAGUGGCAUGUGGCGAGGUUAACCUUUUGUUGGGUAGCCGUAGUGAAAGCGAGUCUGAAUAGGGCGUUUAGUUGCGUGUUCUAGACCCGAAGCGGGGUGAUCUACCCAUGGCCAGGGUGAAGCGCGUGUAAGAGCGUGUGGAGGUCCGGACCCACCAGGGUUGCAAUCCUGGGGGAUGAGUUGUGGGUAGGGGUGAAAGGCCAAUCAAACUCCGUGAUAGCUGGUUCUCCCCGAAAUGCAUUUAGGUGCAGCGUUUUGUGUUGUUUUGUGGUGGUAGAGCGACUGGUUGGUUGAUGGCCUGUUGUGGGUACUGAUGUCAGCCAAACUCCGAAUGCUGCAAGGCGAGCAGGGCAGUGAGACUGUGGGGGAUAAGCUCCAUUGUCGAGAGGGAUACAGCCCAGAUCAUCGGUUAAGGCCCCUAAGUGUGUGCUAAGUGGGAAAGGAUGUGGAGUUGCGUUGACAGCCAGGAGGUUGGCUUAGAAGCAGCCAUCCUUGAAAGAGUGCGUAAUAGCUCACUGGUUUAGUGGUUCCGCGCCGACAAUGUAGCGGGGCUUAAGUGCACCGCCGAAACCGUGAAGAUGAUUCCUAUGUUUGUGUGGGGGUUGUUUGGUAGGGGAGCGUCGUGUUUGGGGUGAAGCUGGUUGGUGAUGACUGGUGGACUGGAUGCGAGUGAGAAUGCAGGUAUGAGUAGCGUUUGGCAGGUGGGAAUCCUGCCGGCCGUAUGACUGAGGUUUCCAGGGGUAGGUUUGUCCGCCCUGGGUUAGUCGGGUCCUAAGGCGAGGCCGACAGGCGUAGUCGAUGGGUGACCAGUUGAUAUUCUGGUACCGGCCUUGAACCGUCAAGUGUGCUGCGUGUUGAUGUUAACUGCCAUGAAGUUGCUUGGGUCUUCCCAUUUGUUUGGGUUGGUUUGGGUGGUGGAUUUGUGGGAACCAAGAUGUGUGGUGCAAGCGUGUUAACGGGUGUGACGCAGAGUGGUAGCUUCGCGUGCCUAAUGGCUUGGCACGUCUAAGGGUGUGGCCUGUUUCUUUGGUAAAUCCGGGAAGCGUGUGGGUGAGGCCUGAUGGUGACUGACCUUUUUUGGUUGGGAAGUAGAGUGAGCCUGUGCUGCCGAGAAAAGCAUCGACGUUAGGUUUGGGGUUGCCCGUACCGUAAUCCGACACUGGUGGUUGGGUAGAGCAUACUAAGGCUUGCGAGUGAAUCGUGGUUAAGGAACUCGGCAAAAUGCCUCCGUAACUUUGGGAGAAGGAGGGCCCUUGCCUUGAAGCUGCCUUUGCGUGGCUAGGGGUUGGGGGUCGCAGAGUUUGGGGAGAAGCGACUGUUUAUCAAAAACAUAGGUCUGUGCGAAGCUGUAAGGUGAUGUAUACGGACUGACGCCUGCCCGGUGCUGGAAGGUUAAUCGGACUGGUGAUCCCUCUUUUUGGAGGGUGAGGCUGGGAUGUUAAGCCCCAGUAAACGGCGGUGGUAACUAUAACCAUCCUAAGGUAGCGAAAUUCCUUGUCGGGUAAGUUCCGACCUGCACGAAUGGCGUAACGACUUCUCCGCUGUCUCGACCAUGAGCUCGGUGAAAUUGCAGUACGAGUAAAGAUGCUCGUUUCGCGCAGCAGGACGGAAAGACCCCGGGACCUUUACUAUAGCUUGGUAUUGGUGUUUGGUGCGGUUUGUGUAGGAUAGGUGGGAGACUGUGAUCUGGUGGCGCUAGUUGUCAGUGAGUCGUUGGUGAAAUACCACUCUGGUCGUGUUGGAUGUCUAACUGUGGCCCGUGAUCCGGGUUCGGGACAGUGCCUGGUGGGUAGUUUAACUGGGGCGGUUGCCUCCUAAAUGGUAACGGAGGCGUUCAAAGGUUCCCUCGGCCUGGUUGGUAAUCAGGUGUUGAGUGUAAGUGCAUAAGGGGGCUUGACUGUGAGACGGACGUGUCGAGCAGGUACGUAAGUAGGAACUAGUGAUCCGGCAGUGGCGUGUGGAAGCGCUGUCGCUCAUCGGAUAAAAGGUACCCCGGGGAUAACAGGCUGAUCCUGCCCAAGAGUUCAUAUCGACGGCAUGGUUUGGCACCUCGAUGUCGGCUCGUCGCAUCCUGGGGCUGGAGUUGGUCCCAAGGGUUGGGCUGUUCGCCCAUUAAAGCGGUACGCGAGCUGGGUUCAGAACGUCGUGAGACAGUUCGGUGCCUAUCCGCUGCGCGCGUAGGAGAAUUGAGAAGGGCUGUUCCUAGUACGAGAGGACCGGGACGGACGAACCUCUAGUGUGCCAGUUGUUCCGCCAGGGGCAUUGCUGGUUGGCCAUGUUCGGGAGGGAUAACCGCUGAAAGCAUCUAAGCGGGAAGCUUGCUUCGAGAUUAGUUCUCCAACCAAAGUUUUUGUUUUGGGUGAGGUCCCCUGUGGAUUACGGGGUUGAUAGGCCGGGGGUGGAAGCCUUGUGAGGGGUGGAGCUGACUGGUACUAAUGACCGACCAUCUACAAAGA
rfam:Actinobaculum suis strain T311 R9-3-1_contig_26, whole genome shotgun sequence.